GCUGGCGGCGUGCUUAACACAUGCAAGUCGCACGAGAACGCUUCAGCUUGCUGAAGUUAGUAAAGUGGCGCACGGGUGAGUAACGCGUGGGUAAUCUACCCCCGAAUUGGGGAUAACAUCGCGAAAGCGAUGCUAAUACCGAAUAAUAUCUUAAAAACCUCGGUUUUAAAGAUCAAAGGUGGCCUCUACAUGUAAGCUUCUGUUUGGGGAUGAGCCCGCGUACCAUUAGCUUGUUGGUAGGGUAAUGGCCUACCAAGGCUACGAUGGUUAGCUGGUCUGAGAGGAUGAUCAGCCACACUGGAACUGACACACGGUCCAGACUCCUACGGGAGGCAGCAGUGAGGAAUUUUGCGCAAUGGGGGAAACCCUGACGCAGCAACGCCGCGUGAGUGAUGAAGGCUUUCGGGUCGUAAAGC
rnacentral:rRNA from 1 species